AACGAACGCUGGCGGCGUGGAUAAGACAUGCAAGUCGAACGGGAUUACUUUUGUAGCAAUACAGAAGUAAUUCAGUGGCGAACGGGUGCGUAACACGUGGGCAAUCUGCCGAAAAGUGGGGAUAGCUCGCCGAAAGGACGAAUUAAUACCGCAUGUGGUGAGGGACGACAUCUUCCUGAAUACCAAAGCCGGGGCAACCUGGCGCUUUUGAGGAGCCCGCCGGCCUAUCAGCUUGUUGGUGA
rnacentral:rRNA from 1 species